rnacentral:SRP_RNA from 1 species
GCUGUGUGUGGUGGUGUGCGCCUGUGGUCCUAGCCACUCAGGAGGCUGAGGCAGGAGGAUUGCUUGAGCCCAGGAGGCUGAGGCUGCAGUGAGUCUUCGUCACACCACUGUACUUCAGCCUGGGCAACAGAGCAAGACCCUGUCUCAA